rnacentral:rRNA from 1 species
GGAUUAGAUACCCUGGUAGUCCACGCCGUAAACGAUGGGCACUAAGUGUCGGCGGUUUACCGUCGGUGCCGCAGCUAACGCAGUAAGUGCCCCGCCUGGGGAGUACGGCCACAAGGUUGAAACUCAAAGGAAUUGACGGGGGCCCGCACAAGCGGUGGAGCAUGUGGUUUAAUUCGACGCAACGCGAAGAACCUUACCCAGGUUAGACACGCUGGUAGUAAGACCCUGAGAGGGGAAUGAUCCUGAAAGGGAAGCUUGCGCAGGUGCUGCAUGGCUGUCGUCAGCUCGUGCCG